GAAAACGUAUAAUUUGCGAAGUAGAGUAGUGUCGUAUAAGGUAGGCGAUGUCCUUUAUAAACGCAAUUUCAUAUUGAGCGACGCGUCUAAACAUCUGAACGCAAAACUGUGCCCAAAGUUUCUCAAAGUUAGGGUUUGCAAAAUAAUAGGCAACAAUUUAUACGAAGUAGAGGAUUCGCAAGGUCGUAAAACUGUCACCCAUUCAAAAGAUCUAAAAAAAUAACCGAAAUUUUACGAUUAAAUGGUCCGGCUAAAUCAGCGGUGCAUGAGACUCUGUUAUAGCUAAAAUCUUAUUAAAAUACGAAAACGUUUCUUUUUCAUAUCCUUUUUGUACAGGAAGGCCUGAUCCAAAAAUGAUAUGAUUUGUAGGAAACGAUUCUCAAACUAUUGAUGCUAAUAAAAAGAUUUAUAAGAAUCUUCAAAAUAAAAUCCAGUUUCAAAAUUCUCUAAACUGUUCAAGAACCUACAAAUCUUGUUUUCGUUAAGUUAUUGUCGUUUACUUUUGCAAUCAGCAUUCUGUUACCAGAAUAAAGUUUGUCGAUAAUACAGACUACAUUUUUCCAAAUUACCACGUACAAAAAGCUGCACAUAUCCGUUUUUGAUCCAUUUCAAAUUAUUCCAGGCCUAAUCACCAUGUGACUAGAAUGUUACAUGCUCUCGAUAACUUUCUUUUCGAUCAAGACGUCAGGCAAGCUAGUCACCUUCUUUCAAAAGAAUUCGCACGUAAGAGCAUUACAAGUACGCAGAAUAAAAGAACUUAAAAGAAAAAAAAAGAAUACUUAGUUUAAAAGAAACAAGAAUUGUGGUUAAAUUGGAACUUUUUUGUGUGGCCUCGGGCAACGUAAAAAUCAAUUAUUUUUGCUCGGCGUGCUGCAUUAACUCAAGGUAAGGCCCAUAGAAAAACCAACCAAAAAUAGAAUUUAUAGAAAUUUAUCCUGUCCAGCGUUACCCAUUGUUCUUAUAAGAACAUUUUGUCUUUCUUUUUGACAAACGACCUCCAAGAUCCAAUCAGUGUUCCAGCUUUCGUCAGAGUCGGACGAAACACAUUUCCAUGCACUGGCAUGGUCCAAAAAGCCGAUAAAGCUGACGGAAUUUUCAAAAAGAAAAACAAGUUUCAAAAAAAAAACUAUAAAGUUACGCCCAUUUCAAGUUUUUUCUCUGUUCGUUACCUACUCGGCAACCAGACAAAAUAAAUUUGAACAGAGAAUCUCGAAAAAAACCAAAAAUCUCUUAAAAAGGUUUGGUUUAUCGAUCAAAAGGAUUUUUAACUUUAUCGAAUACAUCUAUACAUCUAAAUAUCAAGAUCUGCAUAUCAAGAAAAAAAAGAACCAAGCUAGAGAAUUUGCAAGUGAGGGAAAUCCCUCCUUGCUCUACAGGCCUAUCAUAGGUGAAAUCAACAUCACAUUAAAGGUGCGAUAGAAAUAAAAGAAAAUUAUAAAGAAAAGUGCAAAAAAAAAAGUUAACAAUAGUUAAAACAAAAGAAAGAGACAAAUC